rnacentral:tRNA from 2 species
GCGCCUGCUGGCCUGGCUGAGCCUGGCGCUGCUGCUGGCGCAGAGCGUGCUGUUCGGCCUGUCGUUCCUCGGCGGCAGCGGGCGCG